rnacentral:lncRNA from 1 species
ACAGCAUAUAGAGUAUUCUUGUUCCGCAAAAAACAGUACCUCUGCUGCUGCUGUACACUCUGCUGCUUCAGAGUCGCUGUUUAACACUGUGGGUUCACCCUUGAAUUCUUCCUGGAUGAAGCCAAGAACCCUCCUGGGCUAAGCCUCAAUUUUGGGGCUUGCCUGUCCUGCGUCAGCAUGAGUACGGACUUUGGGGUUACAAAUAGGUGCAUUUGCAAAUAUGGAAUCCACGAAUGAUGAAGAUAGACUAUCACUGGGUACCACCGGAAUUCUCUGACCUGAUAACUUCAUAUGCAAAUCCUGGCUGGUCCUUGGAACAGGAGAAAGGGUUGGAAAACAAAGAUCACUUUUCUCUGGCCAAAUGGAAUCACCCAACAAAGUACCUUCCUGAUGGGCCAGCUAUUUCAGAUGAUGAAGGUUUAAGAAGCAGCAUCAUCAGCGAACUGUGUUUUGAAGAUUUGAGGGAAGGGCUGACCUCAGGAUUUUAUACUAGUUGCUGACCUCCAUAACAGCAGACAAAAUUGGAAGCAAGAGUGAUUUUGGAGGAGUCACACUUAGAUGUUUCCCUUACCUAUUUCUGUUCUGGAAAUUUAAAAAUCUUACUUCUCGUGACAGUCCUACAUGAAAAAUUAAAAAUCACAAGGAUUCAUGGAUGGAAAACUGAGACUCAGAGAAUGAUCACAUUCACAUCGUAAUAAAUCAGCAAUAGAAUGGAGUCUCACUCUGUCGCCCAGGCUGAAGUGCAGUGGCACUGUCUCGGCUCAUUGCGACCUCCGCCUCACCGGUUCAAGCAAUUCUCCUGCCUCAGCCUCCCGAGUAGCUGGGAUUAUAGGCGCCCGCCACUACACCCAGCUAAUUUUUGUAUUUUUAGUAGAGACAUGGUUUCACCAUGUUAGCCAGGCUGGUCUAGAACUCAUGACCUCGUGAUCCACCCGCCUCCGCCUCCCAAAGUGCUGGGAUUACAGGCGUGAGCCACGGUGCCUGGCUGCCAUUGUUCAUUUCUAUUUCAUGAGUGAUCGGCUCUUGUUGGCCAUGGCUGGAGGAGUCAGCUCCCAAAAUCCACACUCUCUAGGAGUGCUGAACCAUAAAUAAUCUAUCAGGACUCCUAGAUUCCACUCUCUAGAGCUGCAACCAGAAGUUCCUUCCUUCCCGGCCCUGCUUCCCACUAAAGGAAACAUUUGACUUUUGGGGAUGAGAUGUUUCAAGCCAGCCAAUCCUUCUCACAGGAAGCAGAACCCCAGCCACCAUGGAGCUUAUCCUUGGGGCGCAGAGAAACACUGACCUAAUGCUGUAAUCAAGUACUGGAUUUUAUUUUUAAAUCUUUUUACCUCACAAGCUGACUUUAUUCUGGCUAGAGGGCUCCUGAACCUCUGUAAACUCCCCAGGAGGUAAUUUCCAGUGCUAAUCUCGCUAACGAGGUGUCAGUUACAGAAAUGGCCCACGCCCUGGUUUCUUCUAAGUGGACAUUACAGUGUUUCUUCAGAGGGGCCUGUGCUGGGACACCUCGGAAAUGGAAGAAUUUAUAGCAAGGAUGUUAUUUCUCACUAAGUGAGCAGAAGAGCUGGAAGAUCUCUUUAGAGAUCAUUAGAAGGAUGGGGAAACUGAGGCUCAGAGAAGGGCAGUGGCUGCCCGAGGCCACAGAGCUGAGUGGCAGCAGGGUUGGGUUAGAGACUGGACCUUGUGGCGGAGCUGGCCUGCUUUGGGCUGUUCCACACACCACUGACUUUCUAGAUUGUUUCAUGUUCAUGGAAUCAUCCUCAAACUCUACUCCCCAAAAUUGUACCAUAGAUUAACUUCGGGCACCCCCCAAGUCAAAACUUCAACAGCUAAGGGACACGGAUCAUGCGGCCUGCUGAACACGCCAUCAAGUGGGGCAAAGUCUUCUUUCUUUGUGAUCAGGGUAUGCACUCUCCCUUGGCCUCUGAAUAAGCUGUACCCAGGGUUCCUCGAUGACUCAGCUGCAGCAGGCUAUCCACCACACAUGUCCGUGGCCACCACGGCGGGAACCGGGCUCACCAUCACUUACCACUAGAGAUGUCAAACCACCCCCCUCCUAACCCAGGCCCCACUGCGGCCUCCCUGCCCUGCUCCAGCCUCGGUCUGUUGUGCAAGAGCCAGAGGGGACUUACGAUCACGGAGCCACACGCCCAGGCCCAACCCAGGCCCAGGAGCUCCACCCUAGGGAAACGCCUAAGUCAGAACAGAGCACUCCUAACC